UUUAGAAGUGACAUCACUUCCUCCUGACAGACGCGAUCUUUUUGGUUCUGUGCAGUUAAACCUUUUUACUCUCUGAGGACAAAAUGAAUCCAGGCAUCACCGCAUUGGCAUAUUUCAUAUUUUGGAUUGCAGGUGUCUGUGAAUCUGUUCUGAUCAGUCAAUGGCCCAGAUACAUCUCCAGUAUUUCCAGUGGUCGUGCAGAAAUACACUGCUACCAGAACGACACAGAUUAUAACUAUCUGUACUGGUACAGACAGCUUGGAGGAAGAGAGAUUCAGCUAAUUGUGUAUUUGCUAGCUGGCACUGCACGCUUUGAGACAGACUUUACAUCUGGCUUUGAGGCAGUGCAAACAAAUAAGCAGUGGUCUCUGACUAUAUCCAAUGUUCAGGAGAAAGAUGAGGCUGUGUAUCUGUGUGCUGCCAGUCACACACUGUUUAUCACUGUGAACAACUUGGAUCCUGCUUACUUUGGCAGAGGCACCAAACUCACUGUUUUAGAACCAGGAAAAUCAGUCACUCCACCAACAAAUGUGACCAUUUUUCAACCAUCAUCUUAUGAGUGCAGAGACCAAAAGAACCAAAACGGGCAAAGGUGGAAGACCCUGGUCUGUGUUGCCUCUGGUUUCUACCCAGAUCAUGUCAGUGUAUCCUGGCAGCUCAAUGAAAAGGUCAUCACUGAUGGUGUGGCAACUGACCCCGCCGCCAAGAAGGAUAAAACUUCAAGAGAUUACACCAUCACCAGCAGGCUGAGGGUCCUUGCAAAGGAAUGGUUCAAACCCGAGAAUCGAUUCUCGUGCCUCGUCACAUUCUUUGAUGGAAAAGAAAACCAAAUCAAAACAGCAAAUAUUUCAUCAACUGAAACCGAUAAAGGCAUGACACGAGAGAAAUACUUGAAGAUCACCCAGAACGCCAAACUCUCCUACGGUGUCCUGAUUGUGAAGAGCUGCAUCUACGGAGCAUUCAUCUGCUUUCUGGUGUGGAAGCUUCAGAGUUCACCAAGAAAGCAGAACAAGUGAGAGCCGAACUGAAGCCCGAACAAAAUGACAAUCUUUGGGGGAAACUGUCUUAUUCUAGCUUCUGUGAAUAAAAUAUGCAGAAUAAAGCAUACACCAUUUCUGCAUGUGUAUUUGUUUGAUUUAAUUUGAUGUGCUAUAUGAUUAAAUUCUAAAUUUUGUGAUAGUUUGAAGCAUUUUUGUAUGUAGGGCUCGGUAAAGAUUGCUUGAAUUGAUUUUAAAGCUAACCAAAUCUUCCUCAAAUCUACAUCAUAUCUAGAUAUACUCGUGUUAAACUGUAAAAGUGCUUUUUUUUUCAUAUUACUGGUUUUUGUUCAGCUUUUUCCUCCAUUUUUGAUUUUGUUCUCAAUAAAUGUGUGUAACUAAAUA